GACGAACGCUGGCGGCGUGCUUAACACAUGCAAGUCGAACGCUGAAGCUCAGCUUGCUGGGUGGAUGAGUGGCGAACGGGUGAGUAACACGUGAGUAACCUGCCCUCUUCUUUGGGAUAACGCCCGGAAACGGGUGCUAAUACUGGAUAUUCACUGAUUCUCGCAUGGGGGUUGGUGGAAAGGUUUGUUCUGGUGGGGGAUGGGCUCGCGGCCUAUCAGCUUGUUGGUGGGGUGAUGGCCUACCAAGGCUUUGACGGGUAGCCGGCCUGAGAGGGUGACCGGUCACAUUGGGACUGAGAUACGGCCCAGACUCCUACGGGAGGCAGCAGUGGGGAAUAUUGCACAAUGGGCGAAAGCCUGAUGCAGCGACGCCGCGUGAGGGAUGGAGGCCUUCGGGUUGUAAACCUCUUUCGCUCAUGGUCAAGCCGCAGCUUUGGGUUGUGGUGAGGGUAGUGGGUAAAGAAGCGCCGGCUAACUACGUG
rnacentral:rRNA from 1 species